rnacentral:rRNA from 1 species
ACAAUAUACGAAGGUGCUGCAUGGUUGUCGUCAGCUCGUGUCGUGAGAUGUUGGGUUAAGUCCCGUAACGAGCGCAACCCUUGUCCUUAGUUACCAGCACGUUAUGGUGGGCACUCUAAGGAGACUGCCGGUGACAAACCGGAGGAAGGUGGGGAUGACGUCAAGUCAUCAUGGCCCUUACGGCCUGGGCUACACACGUGCUACAAUGGUCGGUACAAAGGGUUGCCAAGCCGCGAGGUGGAGCUAAUCCCAUAAAACCGAUCGUAGUCCGGAUCGCAGUCUGCAACUCGACUGCGUGAAGUCGGAAUCGCUAGUAAUCGUGAAUCAGAAUGUCACGGUGAAUACGUUCCCGGGCCUU